GGCGGGCGUGCGCGAGAAGGGAGGCGAGCCGGUGCUCGUGACGCCGAUCGUCCGCCGCUGGUUCAACUCCGACGGCACGCUG
rnacentral:tRNA from 1 species